UGAACCUUUAACACAACCCCGUGAGGUUGAGAAGGAAGCGGAAAAAUGAAAAGGGAUAAUUGUAUCCUUUUGCGCUACCCUCUUGUCCAUCGGGCAAGAGGGUUUUUUGC
rfam:Bacillus sp. FJAT-25509 scaffold2, whole genome shotgun sequence.